AAUGAUUGGAUGAGUGGAUAAUGCGAUGGCGUUUGAAGCGAAAGGUACUGGGUUCGAGUCCCAGAAUGAACA
rnacentral:tRNA from 1 species